rnacentral:rRNA from 1 species
GACGAACGCUGGCGGUGUGCUUAACACAUGCAAGUCGAACGGAAAGGCCCUGCUUUUGUGGGGUGCUCGAGUGGCGAACGGGUGAGUAACACGUGAGUAACCUGCCCUUGACUUUGGGAUAACUUCAGGAAACUGGGGCUAAUACCGGAUAGGAGCUCCUGCUGCAUGGUGGGGGUUGGAAAGUUUCGGCGGUUGGGGAUGGACUCGCGGCUUAUCAGCUUGUUGGUGGGGUAGUGGCUUACCAAGGCUUUGACGGGUAGCCGGCCUGAGAGGGUGACCGGCCACCUUGGGCCUGAGAUACGGCCCAGACUCCUACGGGAGGCAGCAGUGGGGAAUAUUGCACAAUGGGCGGAAGCCUGAUGCAGCAACGCCGCGUGCGGGAUGACGGCCUUCGGGUUGUAAACCGCUUUCGCCUGUGACGAAGCGUGAGUGACGGUAAUGGGUAAAGAAGCACCGGCUAACUACGUG